rnacentral:rRNA from 1 species
UACAGAGGUCCCAAGCGUUGUUCGGAUUCACUGGGCGUAAAGGGUGCGUAGGCGGUCGGGUAAGUCUGGCGUGAAAUCUCCAAGCCUAACUUGGAAACUGCGUUGGAUACUAUCCGGCUCGAGGAAUGGAGGGGAGACUGGAACACUUGGUGUAGCAGUGAAAUGCGUAGAUAUCAAGUGGAACACCAGUGGCGAAGGCGAGUCUCUGGACAUUUCCUGACGCUGAGGCACGAAAGCCAGGGGAGCAAACGGG